ACCUAUGAGGAGAAGGACAAUGAUCAAAUGUUCUCCAUGUCCACUGAAGGCAGGAUAAGAAGCAAUGGGCUUCAUCUACAGCAAGGGAGAGUUAGGUUAGAUAUUAAGAAAACCGUUCUAACUAUCAGGGUCGUUAAGCUCUGAAAUCGGCUUCCAUGGGAGGUUGUGGAAUCCCCAUCAUUGGAGGUUUUUAAGAACAGGUUAGACAGACACCUUUCAGGGAUGGUCUAGAU